CUUUUCUGGCUAUAUGCACAGUUUUUGUUUUUUUUUUCUGCUAGAUUGAAAUCAAUCAUGUGCAUUAUUUUCUUUACUUGGUUGAUGGUAAAGUAUUUAACUUCAAAGAAUUAUUGUACCAAAAGUGAAUAGUUUAGUGAUGCAGAUUAAUGAUUGAAAACCAAUCAGAUUCUCGGGUGCUGUUCACAUUGACAAUUGGAAAACUAGAAUAGUGUAAGAGAAUCCACUUAGCACCUUGAGAAUCUACCUAGGCUUUCUCUUAUCCAAAAAAAGAAUCUACCUAGGGUUUCCAUAAACCAUGGUCUAAAAAAAAAAAGAAAGAAAUAUGUGAUGACUUUGAAUAAAUAAUACAUACAUACAUACAUACAUACAUACAUACAUAUGUGUGUGUAUUGGGUUAAAUUAUAAUUUUGGUCUUCGAACAUCUGAGAUUUUGUCUUAUAGGUCAUUCUAAUAAGUUUUUGAACUGUCAUUGUCGUGUCAAAUUGGUCUUUGAAACUUAAAGUGUUGAAGAAGUCUUUAAGUUGGUCAACUUUAGGAAGUGUGUAGAAAGUUCUGUCUCUUGUAAAAAAGUGAAUUCUUUUUUGCAAUAAGUCGAUGUCUUGUUGAACAUUUUUGAAAGUUUAGGGUUGUAUUAGACAAGAUGGAAAGUUAAGGGAUUUAUUAAUAAUCUUUUAAAAUUCAAAGACAUAUCACAAACUUAAAGGUUGAGGGACCAAACUUGUAGUUUAAUCUUUCACAAAAUUCUCAACUAAUAUUAUCUUGUCGGUCUCUCUUUGCCCGUGGUUGAUCCAUCCUAGAAUCCUAGUUCCCUUUUCUUCACCUUGCCUUGGAUGGCUAAAACCUUGAAGAAGAUUGUAUUUUUCUCUUGGUUGGUUAUUUUGGGGAGGUUGAUGCCAUUUACUUUUACUUCAUCCAAAACAUCUUCAUUAAGGUUGUGUGCUCCUAAUGCUGUGUGCUCCUAAUGCUGUGUGCUCUGCUAGGAGGUGGAAGAUCUAAACCAUGUAUUUGCACGUUUGAAUAUGCUGUGAAAAUAUGAAAAUAGUUUUGGAUGCGUUUGGCUCCUCUAGAAGUCAUAAGGGACAUUAUGGAGGAGGUGCUUGUUAAUCCUUCAUUUCGUACUAGUGGUUUAAUUAUUUGGCCAGCAACGUUCUUUGUGAGUAUAUGAAACUUAUUGCUGCAAAGAAAUUGGAGAACUUUUCCAAUGGGAACUUGGCCAUUUGUGAAUCCAUGUGGUUGGCUGCCCCAAAAGCUAACGUCUUUUUGAUUUUCUGUCUCCUAAUUGGCUUUUAGUUGGUCCUUGAUCCCUCCCUCCCCUUGGAAAGCAUCCCUGACUUCUUGGCCCCUGUCUCCUUGGAUCCUUCCAUAGGAAAAAGAAAAGAAAAGAAAAUAAAAGAACAGAACAGAACAAAAACCCUCUGGUUGGCUACCAACAGGGAUUAUUUUGGGCCAUUUGGUGUCACUGCAACAGUUGGGUUUUCAACAACUCCACUACAUGCUUCAACAGUUUUCUAGUACUGGUUCUUUUUACAGCUUUUAUAUGGGUGUAAACGUUUGCAUACCUUUAAGGAUUCUAGUGUAAACUCUUGUUACAAGGUGGAGAUGCUUUUGUUAGAUGGUUUGGGAGAAUUUCCUCCCCUUUUGUAUAUUUCAUUUAUCACUAAAUUCUCUGUUUCUCAAAAGAAAAAAAA